GAUCCACGGCCCUGAGCUAGCGUUCUAGGUCCUUGUCCCUUGGGAGGAGGGUCAGGGUAGGAAGAUAACUCAUUUAGUCUGGUAACUUGAUGCUUGUCACCGGUGAGGUUCCGUAUCACUAUCCUGCCAUCCUGAGUCCAUGAAAUGUGGCCCUCCUUCUUGAGGAAGCGGGCUUUGGAGAAUAGUGUGGACCUGAACUUAGUAAGCGCUUCGUUGACGAAGAGUUUAUUAGACGGAUGCUGGGAUGAAGUAGGGGAUGCUGAGUGGUCACUUUUCUUAGAGAAAAAAGAGAAUCUUGCAUCGUACACACUGGCUCUGGUUAUAUAAGAAAUAAAGCGAACUAUGAUGUCUCUGGGAUAGGACUUAUUGAUGGGGCCGACACGAUGGGUCCUGCUAAUGUCGGACUCGGUAACCAUGACACCUAGUGUAUCAUUACAUGCAUCAAGAAUAAGCUUGUCCGUGUUCUCAUGUUCUGACUCCGGAAUACCCAUGAACUUCAAGCAAUUACGACGGGAAUAUUGUUCCAUGUCGUCAAUACCAUGCUCCAAAGACUUAAUCUGAUCAUUGAGGGCAGUAAUACCUAAGCUGGACAGGAGCGUGUCCUUGAAUAAGGAGUUAGACAUGAGUUGAGAAACAACUUCUCGGACCACACCAGGGUCCCUGAGAUCACUAAUGGCUUGGACACUCUUCUUGACUUUAUUAGACAGUUCAACAGCCAUGAUGAGUAGCAACAGCAGAUCUAGAGCAAGCGAAAGCUGACAACAAAGGAAAAUGGCGGGAGUGGAGUGGUCAGUCGGGCGAUACACACUGGUCAGAUAGAGUGAAUUAAUUCAUAUUAUGAGGAAAACAGAAUGUCAUAUUCAUACUAAAAUGUUACACAGUUACUUAUCUUCAUCUGGUGUUUCUGUUUACAUCAUAAUCGGCGAAAAAACCAUGAUAUCGAUGAAAAAAUGACCACUGGUCAGUGAGGUACGUGUUUACAUUUCAACACCGGAAAUGACAUUUUUCAAUGUUGCGGAAUGUUGUUUUCAUCUACGUGACUACAGGUAGGGUAUGCCUAGAGUAAUGGCUGUUUUGUGAACGCCUGUGGUCGAUUGUCGGUUAUUAAAAUGGAAACAGGCUCGGAAAUCAGACCGGGCUCUCCAUGACGGGAUUUAGUCCCUGAGCCAAUAGGACUCUGCUACACGACGGCUUCGGCGUCAGGACUCGUCCAAGAUAGAGUCAGCCUCAGGAAGUUCCGUUGGUGUGCCAGGCGAGUCAGCGUGCUAAGGGAAAGAGCGGGCGGUAUCACUACGCCUACAUGUGGUCGACGUCUGGUGUUAUGGACGUACUGGUGAGAUAGCCAGCCACUGCGGAGCUGCGCCAGAUUAUUUGUGCUAGCAUCUAUUUUUCUAUACUGUACCUCCGGGAAAGUAUUUUGUGUUGAUAUUGCUGUGCCGGACAUUCUUGCGGAGCGCUUGUCCGUGUGCCUGGAUUGCGGUUCAGAUUAUGACCUUAGUGAUGUUUGUCGUGAGGGAAACUUGUGACUGUCGUGGAUAACGAACUAUGAACUUUGAACUUUCGUGUUGGAGUGAGUGUGAAUGUGUCUUAGUGUGAAAUUUAUAUGUAUCUGUAUAUAAUAUAUGUAGUAAAUAGUUUCAUGUAAAA